AUGGAACGCUGGCGGCAUGCCUUACACAUGCAAGUCGAACGGCAGCACGGGGCAACCUGGUGGCGAGUGGCGAACGGGUGAGGAAUGCAUCGGAACGUACCUUUCUGUGGGGGAUAACGUAGCGAAACUUACGCCAAUACCGCAUAUUCUGUGAGCAGGACAGCAGGGGAUCGCAAGCCCUUGCGCUGCUUCAGCGGCCGAUGUCAGAUUAGCUAGUUGGUGGGGUAAAGGCUCACCAAGGCGACGAUCUGUAGCGGGUCUGAGAGGAUGAGCCGCCACACUGGAACUGAGACACGGUCCAGACUCCUACGGGAGGCAGCAGUGGGGAAUUUUGGACAAUGGGGGCAACCCUGAUCCAGCCAUGCCGCGUGAGUGAAGAAGGCCUUCGGGUUGUAAAGCUCUUUCGGCCGGGAAGAAAUCGCACGGGCUAAUACCCUGUGUGGAUGACGGUACCGGAAUAAGAAGCACCGGCUAACUACGUGCCAGCCGCCGCCGUAAAAC
rnacentral:rRNA from 1 species